UUGAACAGAAACACCUCUAGAAAUAUUGGCGCCGACAUCAAUUUGAAAGAAGAGAGAGCAAGAAAAAAUAGAGAUACACAGAUUUAGCUGUCUCUAGUUUUUCUUCUCUACUCUUCUCUCAAUUACGAUGGCGAAACAGCUCUGUAUUAUGCCGCUCAAGCAGAAAAUGGUGAUGAUGCGAAUCCGAUGAACACAGAAGCCUGCUUUUGUUUGCUUCUACUAAAAGGCAGUCAAGUGUGGAUAACAGUACUCAAUGCUUUCUUGAUCAAUCGGCAAAAUUUUUGCCCCUGAGAUUGAUGGAAGGCGGGCGAAAGUUUUUGUCGACCCUUUUGGCGGUGCUGGAUCAGGGAGAAAUUGAGAAGGAUUUUCGAUUCACAGAUUCCAGAGGAGCUGCGGAAACAGAGUGGGUGUGUGUAUGAGGCCUCUGUAUUAUGAAGAAAUUGGAAUCCGAUGAACACAAAAGCCUGCUUUUGUUUGCUUCUGCUGUUGGUAUCGGUUCUGCAGAAAAAUGUUUAAGCUCCAAUUCUAAUAUCAAGAAAUUUCUUGAGAGCACAAGUGGUGAAAUAAUGCAAGUACCAAGGGCGGAGAAUUUGCUUAGGGUUGCAGCAUCGUUAGGCAACGCAGAUAUGACGAGGGAGCAAGCAUGGAUCUCAUUCGAAGUGAGAAAUGGAUAGCCGGUCUCUCACCAGAGAGAAAAAAAAUGUCGAAGAUGUUGGCAAGAUGCCUCCUGCAUUCAAGGAUAGUAGUCUUUGUUGACAAUCUUGAUCGUUGCCAAGAAAAUGUGAUUCUGCAGAUACUUUCAGGAGUGAAUCUGGUUUUGGCUGUUUGCAAAAUCAACGUAAUUUUGGGAUGGACAAGAGAAUGAUGGAGGGGCGCGGUUAAUUUAGUUCUAAAAUUGUGAUGUAUUACAAUGCAUAAUUUGUCUGUUAUGUAGAUAGAAAAAUUGUAAAAUAGGUGCAGAAUGAUUGUGGGACUCAACAGAAAGCCCUGUGUGCACUGUUAUAUAAUACAAAGAUUAUUUUGAUGUAUAACAAUACAAUUUGAACGUUUUUGAAGCCAAAAUAGCUAAGGGAUGAUCCAGGGCAAUAAUUAAAAAGGUACGGUAACAAGAAGAAGAGCAAACCUAAUAAGUCCAACCUCUGGCAGAAUCUGGAGCUAAACAAGAAAGAACCUAGUAUUUCAGGUGAAAAUAUUCUUCUUAAGCUGAACAGAAACUAGUAUAUUCAGGGUGUACGUCUACCUCUAGUGAUGAAUUUAAUGCUGCCCUUAUAUUCACAUAAUUCUGAAUCUUUUUAAUUCAAAAUGAUUGUUAGCAAAAAUUUCUGGAAUUAAAGAAACAAAGAUUCAGAUAGCGGAUCCAAAUUAAAGAAACAAAGAUAGCAAAAUGAUUGUUAGCAAAUGGUUAUGCUAACAAAGUUUUGGGAAUUAAAGAUUUUGCUAUGUGAAUUUUUGUUUCGGGAAUUAAAGAAACAAAGAUUAUGGUACAAAGAUUCAGAUAGCAGUAUAUUGAUGAGAAGUGGCCGCCCACAAAAAAAAACGAAGACACCAAUGAGGAAGUGGACAAGACAAGUUGCAACUUGGCUGAGAAGAAGAUGAGAACAAUCUCCCACGAGGAUGAUACUAAGAGAGAAGAAUAUCACAAGGAAGUGGAAAGAGAGCUUUUGAAAGGAGAAAUAGAGAAGAAACAACGGUUUUCCCUAAAAAGAAAAGGGCUUCAGAGGUACAAGAAGCUGAAGUUAGAGAUAAGAGACGUUUUACCACGAGGAGGAAGUGAAGGAUAUGCUGAAAACAAUCUUGAAAGAAACUUUGAAAGAGGAAAGAGAAAGAGAAAGACAGCUAAGGGAAGUUUCAACUUCAUGUGAGGAAGAAAACAAAGGAGAUGAAGAAAACAAUGAGAUAGAAGAAAAUAGUUACCGUUUGGUGUCGAGGAAUUGUAGACGAGAUUUUGAGUUUCAGUUUGCUAUCAAAAUAGUUACGGUUUGGUAUCGA